GGUAGGUGUACUUGCAUUCUAACA
rnacentral:siRNA from 1 species